rnacentral:rRNA from 1 species
UGGGGGAUAUUGCACAAUGGGCGCAAGCCUGAUGCAGCGACGCCGCGUGGGGGAUGAAGGCCUUCGGGUUGUAAACUUCUUUUGCUCUGAACAAGGCGCACUUUGGGGUGUGUUGAGUGUAGGGGUUGAUUAGCGCCGGCUAACUACGUGCCAGCAGCCGCGGUAAUACGUAGGGCGCGAGCGUUGUCCGGAAUUAUAGGGCGUAAAGGGCUUGUAGGUGGCUGGUUGCGUCUGUCGUGAAAGCUCAUGGCUUAACUGUGGGUUUGCGGUGGGUACGGGCUGGCUUGAGUGCAGUAGGGGAGGCUGGAAUUCCUGGUGUAGCGGUGGAAUGCGCAGAUAUCAGGAGGAAUACCGGUGGCGAAGGCGGGUCUCUGGGCUGUUACUGACACUGAGGAGCGAAAGCAUGGGGAGCGAACAGG